rnacentral:rRNA from 1 species
AGUGAACGCUGGCGGUGGCCUAACACAUGCAAGUCGAACGGCAGCACAGGAGAGCUUGCUCUCUGGGUGGCGAGUGGCGGACGGGUGAGGAAUACAUCGGAAUCUACUCUGUCGUGGAGGAUAACGUAGGGAAACUUACGCUAAUACCGCAUACGACCUACGGGUGAAAGCAGGGGACCUUCGGGCCUUGCGCGAUUGAAUAAGCCGAUGUCGGAUUAGCUUGUUGGCGGGGUAAAGGCCCACCAAGGCGACGAUCCGUAGCUGGUCUGAGAGGAUGAUCAGCCACACUGGAACUGAGACACGGUCCAGACUCCUACGGGAGGCAGCAGUGGGGAAUAUUGGACAAUGGGCGCAAGCCUGAUCCAGCCAUACCGCGUGGGUGAAGAAGGCCUUCGGGUUGUAAAGCCCUUUUGUUGGGAAAGAAAUCCAGCUGGCUAAUACCCGGUUGGGAUGACGGUACCCAAAGAAUAAGCACCGGCUAACUUCGUGCCAGCCGCCGCCGUAA